AACACACGAUCAUGUGUCAACCCCUGUGAACUUUUGGGUCUUAAAAAACCCGUACCUNNUCGAGGAGCGCACUUGUGAGGGUGCGCCGCCGGCUUCGUUGGUCGGUUCGGUCCGGAGUGCUCGGACUUCGUCGGCUCAUCGUUCGGCCUUUAGCGGGGCCAGAUGGGCUGCCGACGUCAGGAACGAGUUCCUGACCGGGCCGGCCUUAGUGUUCGCUCCGGAUCGGGUUCCGUCGCUUGUGCUGGCUGGCUCCCAAGCCUUUAGCGGGGCGAGAAAGGGUCAGCCGGUGCUGUUGGGGCGGAGCCCUUCCGGAACUGCGCCUGAAGGAUCGAGCGCAAUGCACGUCGUCGGUGUCGGAUGGUGUCCUCGUCCCAGUGCCUAAGCUUGCGGGGAGGCUUCUGGGGACCCGAAGCAAAGCGGCUUCCGGCUGGAGGAGGCUUGCAUCGGCGUUUCUCUUGGACCAUCGGUAGCGGAACGGGAAUGCAGAACUGGCUCGAUCUCUCUCUCUUCGAGUUUUCUCAGGAUCACUCGCGUUAAUAGUUGCCCGAGGUUUCAUGCCUGGCUGGGCCACCCCUCCGAGUUGUGGGGCGUGAAGAGAGAUUUUUUGGUGUCGGGGAAGCGGGAUCGUGAAGCGAAGCGAAGUGGUCCGGCGAAACGCCGGUGCAGAGAACCUCCUCUGCUCGGAAGAGGCUGCUGAGGGACUCGGUCGCGUUACUUGCAGGCGGUGGCACGGCUGCCAUCUCCUCCUCCGGACCUACGGACGAAAGUGGAUCGCUCGACGGGGCGGUCCGUGAGUAGGAAGCAGGUUCGGUGUCUUGCCUCUUGGAACCUCUCCUUCACGGGAGAGCGCACUGUUAUUAAAUCUUUAUGGCUGAACUCUGCGGUCGAGGGAGCACCGUUCUGUUGGCGAGUAGCCUCUUCAGGUUUUGAGUGUCGGCCCUAUGGCGGGGCGGAUGCUGUGCACGGGCCUUCGUGAAGGGGUUCGAGCGGGGACUUGACGGGGUGAAGUCGGCGGAGCCUGUGUGCUCUCCCCAAGCAGAAAUGAAAAAAAAAA
rnacentral:misc_RNA from 1 species